GAUUUCAAUGUUUAUGUCCAACAUUUUGAAUAGAAGCAGUCACUGCACUAAGGAUAUAAGUUAGGGCCUGACUGAUAAGUUUAACUUAUUACAGUUGGAUCUUAUUGCUGGUGACUUAUAGCUACAUGAUCUGGAAUCUUUUUUUUGUCAUAUUCUCAAAAACUUAAAUGCUAUAUGAUCAAGUACCCAACACAGAACUUAGGAUUGUGAUUAAAUGUAUUACUGGGAUAUUAUUUUGCAGUUUUUCAAAACUUCUCGUCUUUUUUAGAUGAGUUCCAACUUUGAUGCAUAUAACCCUUUUGGAGAUUUUUUUUAUCCUCCUCUCAUAUCAUGAUUUCUCCUGUGAGCAGAUCAUAGAUUUUCAACCAGUUGAAUUCCUUAAUGUGAAUGCUUUUGUUUCUGAUUGAAACUGUUUUUCAUUUUGGAGUCAUCUUCUUUUUUAAUUUUUUACCUUUCGUAAAUAAGAAAUCCAAGCCAAUAUAAAACAACUAUCAAUACAGAUAAAGACAAGACUGAAAAAAAUAUUGCUUCAAUUAGUCUGAACAACACUUAAAGGGCACUCCUCUGAAAACCCAUGGAGCACAAGCUGUCAAAGAAGCCUAAAAAACCACCUUGUCUUAUGACAGAUUAAGGGACAGAGUCUGAUUUUGGACAGCACAUGUUCCUCUCCAAUCAAAUACUCCAUAAUGGUGCAAAAACAAAAAAAAUAAAGAAGAAAGCGAGGAAGUUUUAACAUUGUUUCACUCACCGAACAUCUGUUAUAUCGGAAAAACCAAAGUGUUCAGACUCCACAUAUCAAGUUCUCGUCUAACAGACCAAAAUGGCAGUUUCAAAUUUCCCAUGCUACCACACAAUGUAAAAACAAAUAGAAAUUAGACUCUUUGGGCUUGUAACACAUGAUAUACCAAAUAAAGAGAUAAAACCUUGUUAAGCCUCCUUUUCUGCAACAAAACAUCAGUAUUCACCUUUUGGAGAAUCACAGGUCGAGCAAAAUCUUGCACCUGGAGUGAUAGCUUUAUUUUGCUUCAUUUCAAAAUCUUAGGUAUAAUUUUCUUUUGUUUACUGUUCCGUUCCUUGGCCAAUAUCAAUUCAGUGGAGAAAGAAGAACACAGAAUGUCAAGCAUACCAGUUUUUGUGCAAAAUAUUCAACUAAAUUGUGGUCAUUCUUCAGAAAGAACUGAUUUG
rnacentral:misc_RNA from 1 species